rnacentral:rRNA from 1 species
GAUGAACGCUGACAGAAUGCUUAACACAUGCAAGUCAACUGUGGCGGACGGGUGAGUCACGCGUCAAGAACUUGCCUCCCAGUUAGGGACAACAUUUUGAAACGAAUGCUAAUACCUGAUACUGUGAGAGCGCUUUGCGUCCCCUUAGCUAGUUGGAGAGGUAACGGCUCACCAAGGCGAUGAUGGGUAGCCGGCCUGAGAGGGUGAGCGGGCAAAAGGGGACUUGUACACGGACCUUACUCCUACGGGAGGCAGCAGUGGGGAAUAUUGGACAAUGGACCAAAGUCUGAUCCAGCAAUUCUGUUUGGAAGAUUAAGUUUUAGGAAUGUAAAGUUCUUUCAGUUGGGAAGCGGUACCAACAGAAGAAGUGACGGCUAAAUACGUGCCAGCAGCCGCGGUAAUUC